CACAGAGCGAGGAAGGCGCUCAACACUGAGAGCCCUGGGUAAAUGGGUUAGCAAUAAAAGCUAUAUUGCCAAAUAGAAUCUACAUAAAGCAAACAUAGUCCUUAAAGCAGACCAAGAGCCAGCCAUCAAGAAGUGAAACCAACAGAGAAGCUGGUGUGCUAAUUAUCCCCCAGGACCAACUCUCGUGUCCUGUUAUGAGUGCUGAAAAAAAAAAACCUGGCCCAGCACCCAAGCAUCAUUCUUCUGCUGGACUUUUAAAGUCUGGUUAUUGGACUUCCUGUAAUGCCCACUCCAAAAAUACGAUUCUGUAAAUUCAUGGAGUGUCUAUUGAGUAGCCACUGUCUAUGAUAAACAAACUGACCUAGAACUUCAAGUUUCUCAUCCAAAGACAAAAGCCAGGUCCAGAAUCCACGAGAUGCCUGACAAUCUCGCAGUUCAGUAUCUAGAGAUCAGUGUUCGGGUCUGACCUUAAAGGGGUCUGAGGUUGAGUAUUAUUUUGGUGCAAAAUCAAGUGCACAGAUAUCUGAACAAAGGCAUCUCUGCUGCUGGUUCCAGAAGAGAAGGCUCAAACAAACCGACGGUAUCCACAUUCUCUAAAACUGCAGGGGAAAGUCCUCGAAACAAUGACUCCAGGAUAUCCGUGAACCCCACAAAAGUGCUCCAUUUCAAAGGAAUACCUUUGUGUUUGCAGUUCAAAUAUCAGGUUAGCCAGCCAGCAAGCAUGGCUCAGAAAUCUGAGCCGGUCAGCAAAACCACUGCCUUCCUUAUUUGGAUAAAUAACAGCCUCAAAGACAACCAGUUUGGGAGUCAUGCAUGUCCCGAGGCUGAGCUUGGCAGCUUCUCUGCCCAUGCCUUGCAUUGCCCUGCACUGCCCUGGAGGAACUGAACCAGCUAACACCAUCUCUUUGCCACCAGGCUGAUCCUCAGACACCAGAUUUGCUUCUCCAAGUUCCAAGAACGCACAUCCAGAACUGUGGGCAUCCCCACUCUCAGGUGAAGCCCUGAAUUUGGAAACCAAGGAAGUUGUAAGAAACCAAAAGGUUAGUUAGCAGCUCUGAGACUUCUGAGAGAAUCAUCAUGCUCCAUGUGACAAAUGCCUAUAUCAUGGAAAGAGGACAAUACUAUCUGGUUGUUCUUGCCAAUGCUGUCCCCUGAAAGGAGAGACUCUCAGCCCCACAUGUAGUAAGGCACAUGAAGAAAUGGCGAUGGGAAAUAUGAAGCACUUUUCAAAGUCCCCAACUACCACCAAGAACUUUGGUAUCCACUUUAAAGAUAAACUCCAGCUUAAACCAAA